GAUGAACGCUGGCGGCGUGCUUAACACAUGCAAGUCGAACGGAAAGGCCAGUGCUUGCACUGGUACUCGAGUGGCGAACGGGUGAGUAACACGUGGGGGAUCUGCCCUGCACUUCGGGAUAAGCCUGGGAAACUGGGUCUCAUACCGGAUAGGACAAUGGUUUGGAUGCCGUUGUGGAAAGGUUUUUCGGGGUGGGAUGAGCUCGCGGCCUAUCAGCUUGUUGGUGGGGUAAUGGCCUACCAAGGCGUCGACGGGUAGCCGGCCUGAGAGGGUGUACGGCCACAUUGGGACUGAGAUACGGCCCAGACUCCUACGGGAGGCAGCAGUGGGGAAUAUUGCACAAUGGGCGCAAGCCUGAUGCAGCGACGCCGCGUGGGGGAUGACGGCCUUCGGGUUGUAAACUCCUUUCGCUAGGGACGAAGCGUAUUUGUGACGGUACCUGGAGAAGAAGCACCGGCUAACUACGUG
rnacentral:rRNA from 1 species